GACGAACGCUGGCGGCGUGCUUAACACAUGCAAGUCGAACGAAGUGGCGAACGGGUGAGUAACGCGUAAUCAACCUGCCCUUCAGAGGGGGACAACAGUUGGAAACGACUGCUAAUACCGCAUACUGAAGGAGGGGAUUGCGUCUGAUUGGCUAGUUGGAGGGGUAACGGCUCUACAAGGCGGUGAUCAGUAGCCGGUCUGAGAGGGUGAACGGCCAAAUUGGGACUGAGACACGGCCCAGACUCCUACGGGAGGCAGCAGGUGGGAAUCUUCCGCAAUGGACGAAAGUCUGACGGAGCAACGCCGCGGGAGUGAUGACGGCCUUCGGGUGGUAAAGAUCUGUUAAUCGGGACGCGGUACCGGAAGAGAAAGCCACGGCUAACUACGUGCCAGCAGCCGCGGUAAUUC
rnacentral:rRNA from 1 species